AACAGAGGAUCAGUGAGGCCAAAUGCACUACAGAAAGCACAGUGAUAUCACAUCAGCUUUAAAGAGGAGAAGCAUGGGCUCUUAGACGACUGGGAUCGAGUGAACUGUGACUUCUCAACAUGCCUGGAAAAUCUGAUGAUAACUUGUUGAAGAUCUCAGAAGAGCUGAACCAGCUGUCCUUUCGCAGACAGCGCCUCACCGACAGACACAAUGUCUUGGGAUUGCUGAUAGAUUUUAAGCGAAACAACGGCCAAAAUGAGCAACAGUAUUUCAGGGAGAAUGAAGAACUUCAAGAAAUUGAUGAAGAACUUAAAGUUCUCUCGGAGAGGAAGAUUCAACUGCAGUUGGAGCACGACAAACUGGCAGGAACUCCUAAUAU